rnacentral:tRNA from 1 species
AGUAAGGUGUCUGAUUUAAGUAUUAAACUGUAAAUUUAAUUAAAAGUAUAAAAAUACUUCCUUCCUA